rnacentral:tRNA from 1 species
GGGCAAUUGGUCUAGGGGUAUGAUUUUCGCUUCGCAUUCCAGAUGCGCCUUGUGAAAGGUCAUGGGUUCGAAUCCCAUAUUGUCCA